AAAGGAAAAAAAAAACCAUCAAUUUUCUUCUUUUUCUUCAUAAUAACUAGAUACUGUCCAUAUAGCCUAUCAAUUAUGAGAAAAUGCUAUCUUUGCUUGCAUGGUAUAUUUCUCAUCUUGUUUCCUGUCUGGGUUAGAACUCGCUAUGCAGAUCAGGCUGGCCUCAAGCUCACAGAGAUCUACUUACAUCUGCCUACCACAUGCUGGGAUUAAGGCCAGUACCACCAUGCCUGACACUGUUUACUUCUUAAUACAAAUAUAGGUGUACUUGGCUUGCCUUACUGCCCAUGGUAUUUAUCACUUGUCAUCAUCUACCAAGUUAGUAUUGGAACUCUUGAGAGAGCAUGAUGGCCAUUUCUGGCUUGAUCCUUGGCAUUGUUACCAUACGGUGGUUUUUCUCCUAUUGUUACAAACCACAGCAUGCUAGUGUGUGUGUGUGAUUUACUAUUGUGUAAGAUCCAUAACAGAUUUAAACAUUUUAAAUAAUAAAAUCACUCAAUAAUCUUUUGACUAGAAUUGAUUUAGGGAUUUUUCCUUUUCUGACUCACAUAAGAAACUUGUGGGAAGACUAUUCCUUUCUCUUCCUUUAUGUCUGCAUCCCCAGACAUAAAAAACAGGAAACAACAGAACAAUAUAAAACACAUCUCUUGACUUCCGGUUGAUUGACGUAGGAAAGAUCAAAAUUCUUUAGCUCAGUUAGACUUCCUUGACCUCCCACCAAGUCUUGGAUGUAGCAUAAACAUAUCACAAGGAGUUUCUAAGAAUGUCACAUUAAUUGUUUUCUCACAAAAUCUCAGCAGAGGCAAAGAGCGGAAAAGGGAACACCACUGGUUGUGUUACAAAAGCAACUGCUGUUUUCUGAUCACAUGACACCUCAGCAUCAGAAUGCACAUCCUCCUUUCUGUGGUCCCUUAGGCUGCUCUCAAGUAGUUGGUGAAUAUGUUCACAGAUGGCUACUUACCCCAAAUUAAUGGCCAAGUCAUUUUUUAAUACUUUCUAUGCCUUCAUGUGUUUGAUAUUCUCCUUCUUGUCUAUUAUAAUCUGUUUUACUGUUAUUAAAAGCAUAGGUGAUGUUGUGUUUUCCCUCUAUUGAAUCACUCUUAUAGAGACUGCAGGGUAAACACAUGUGGGUCUUCUCUUUUGAAAAGCACAGCUAUAUACCAUCCAGUCUCAGUUUUGAUGUGAGAUGUAUACAACAUACAUGUUGGCCAGGAAACAAACAGAACAACACAGAAGAGAAUGGAUCAAAACCUGAGUCCACUCAUUUGUUUUUGUCUCCUUCCUCCCAUUUUUUGAGUCAUCAAUACUCUUCCCCAAAACAGUUUGGGUCUGGAAUGCGGACCUGUGUAGUCGCUCUCACAGACUGCCUGCCGGCCCUAUAGAGACCAGGACACACAUCAUCAUCUCUCUCCCUAGAGUUCUCUGCUGGUGGUGCAGCCAGGUUCUGUGAAGUGCAACUGAGAGCAGGUGUCUUCUGAUGGCUUCCAUUCUACAAUGCUAAUAUUGCUAAUCUCGGAUUCCUCCAAAAGAACGAUCAGUUCCCUAAUAACAUUUCUUUGGUCCAACACAUCAAUUAAGAGUCCGGUUGGACUUUAAUCUACUCUGUUUCCUUUUCCGAAGACUCAGAUGAACAGAAGGACUGAAUCAUCUUGCUUCUCCCAGUGAGGCAGACAGACCCAGGACAGAGCAAAAAACUCCUUCAUCAUGAAUAUUUUCAGGAGAUUCCUUUUUAGACCAAGAAGUCAUUAUAGGUUAUAAAAUAAUAAAUCAACAAGAGAAAAUUGGUAAUGAGUUCAGCGUUUGCCAGGCGGCCAUUCUUUUUAUGUGAUUCCUAAAUCUGAAUUAGGAAAAUCACAAAGUAAAUGUGUGUUGUUGUUGUUGUUUUUAAAUCUUAUAAACCACUGUCAGAAAAACAGGGUCAGGCUAAACUCUGUUUAUACCCCAAGGCAACAAUUAAAGUACAUUUCAUAAAGGAAAAUAUACAGUACAUUAGGAACAUUGUCUUUGGGGAGUGUGCCACAUGAAGAUUCCCUUUAAACCUACUUCUAAAUACCAGCAUAUACAAAAUAUGAAACACUGCGGUGGGAAUGAAAGUCGCCAUGUAAACUAUAUCAGCAGCUCCCCGUUUGGCUUCCACUGACCACGUGAGGUUUCCAUCCAUGUAGAUGAGAGGUGGUUUGAUGCGCACUUUCCUUUGUUGUUACUAUAACAACUUCAGCACAGUGUUAGCGUGCUGGACCAUGGAAUUUUGGCUGACCUAAAUCUGUGUUCCUGGGCCCUGUCACUCAUAUUUGGCUCUAGAAUAAACUACUUCUCUCCUUCGAAAGGGUGAGAGUUGUGUGUUUGCACUGAUGGGGGCAAUGGUAAACAACAUUAUUCUCUCUGGUCCUGGCUAAGUGUUCUUUAUUUUGAAGCCAUCACCAAAAAGUUGUCAAGGAUUUUAACAGCUGACAUUAAAAAAAACAUGGAAAAGCAAAUUCUAUAAAUUUCUCUUCCAAAUCAUUGUUUGGUUGAUUGAAAGAUAUAUAAAAGAAAUCUCCUUUUCAACACAUACACUUAGACACACGCACAAUCAAUACUUUUGACUGCAAAACUCCCAAAGCAACAGUGGGCUAAGGGCACGUCUACACUGGAGACUGACAUCAGCUUUAUUGGUCAGUCAGUGCUGUUUGGAAGAGAGAGAAGACAGAAAAGCACGCAAAGAUUCCACUAUGUUUAAGGUCACUUUAAGGUUCUUACAGGUGUCAAAUAUAAGAAUUAGAUUCUAAGACAUUUUUAGUGCACAACUCUCAUUCAUAAGGAUUUCAGGAGAAAUUUCAUUUGAUUCCAAAUGCUUUAUUUGAUUUUUUUUUAAUCUGAAAAUACACUGAGGCUAUCAAGAUGAAUUGGCAUUAAAUAUCUGCUCCACACCAUGGGAGGAGAUGUUGAGACAACAUGCACUUGGCAAAUCUCCUUGCCUUACAGAGGGACAUAAGAGAAGAUACUAUCUGGAAAAAGAUUCAGUCAAGUGCAAACAUUUUGAUAAUUGAAUUAGGUAAACAAAGAGUUUUAUCCUUGGGGAAUUAAUGUGAAUUAUACCUGUGACAAACUGGAACUGUUUAAAAUUCAAGUUCUAGACAAACAUGAAAAUAAAUAACAAAAAGAAAAAAAUAGGUCAUUCUAUGCCAUACUAAAAUUAAAGUCGCCCUGAAUCUCCUAUGCCAACAUUAUAUUUACAAUGGUGAGUAGUAACUGUCCUUUAUUUACUAUUUAUAGAGAACUAAUUCCUUAAUUUAGUUAACAGCUUUAUUUAAAACUGUUAACAUUAGUUUGUCACUCUAUAUUAUCAUUACAAAUCUGAGUUCCUGUGAAAUUAGCAUUUCAAAAACUUUCUGGAGGCCAGUAAACCCAAUUUUUAAAUGAAUCUGUGGGGGGAACAAUGAAAUAUUUAACAUUAAUUAUGCCACACUUCAUAUCUAGAUUAUAAAAUGUCUUCUCUUUGAAACAUUCUGAAAUAGGUCUGUCAUUCUAAAUGAUGACCAGAUGGGGCUAAAAGUAAGAGGGAGCAGCAAGGAACAGAUAUGUCAUUACCUUUAAAAUAUUUAGGGGACUUUAAGGAAGCCUUAUGGCCUGCGAGGAGAUAAAGGAAAGAACAGAGGGCAACAUCUUUAAGAAUACAGCGAUAGCCAUCGGGGCUGUCUCUACUAAGUUGCAGAGCAGCGAGGGGGCUGCUUUAAAAAAUGCCUAGAGAGGCAAUUGGUCUUUCUCAGUGCAUAUGGUUUCCUGGAUGAGAUCUGAGUUCAAAGUAGUUUGCAGGGAAAGUCUAGCUCCUGCCUCUCCAUCAUGGGGUGAGACAUUUGGGUUUUCUCAGCAGCAGCAGCAAGCCGAGAGCUUCUCAAUUGGUCCUCACUCUAGAGGCAGCUGGCAGAGAAUCACUGUGCAAAGUCCAUGCCAGAUUUAGAGGUUUGCGGGAGAGGGGCACCCAGCACAUUGGCAGUGUUACAAAUCCAUAAAGCCUCACUGGGAAGAGUUCCACAGUUUGGAACGGGCUCUGGAUUUAGCUGCUGAACUGCUCAGACCCCAAAUCUUCACCUCUGAGAGAUGAGACAGUUUUACCUCAAGUUACUCUUUGUGAAUUUUUGGGAACUUACAAGGUCACUGUAAGUCAGGAAUACACACAUUUUAUGCUUGUGUUCAGUUGUUAUGAUUUCUGGGAAGGGGGUUUCUGACAUGCUAUGUGUCUUUUUCAGUCUUGUGUCCACAGUCACAUCUAUUGAUUCAAACUAGAACAAAUGGCACAGAUUUUUUUUCAACAUGAUGUAAUUUGUAUUUAAUCAUUAAAUGAAUGAAUACGACUCAGUUUCACAAAUAUGAUGCCAAUUGACAUAAGUAGCACACGUGACUUGACAUUUAAAAAAUAUUACUUGACUUUUCUCCUAGUGAAAUAAAAAAAAAAAGGAAGCUUUGUCCUUUGCUAUACAAUGAGAAGUUCAGAAUUCACUCUCAGCCUCAAGCCCUGAUGAAUCUUUAUUGGGAUUCCCCCAGUGCCGAAGGAUCUACCACUGGCUAUCUGAAACGUCUGUGCGUUUGACUGACCUUCAAGCUAGUUUUUUAUAGCCCUCUUUGGGGCACACUGAAAGUUCUUUAGAUGAUCUUUCAAACACAUGGUCUGAAAUAAACGUAGCAGUGUUCCUUUAGUGUGCAAAUGUGAGAGGAAAGAAUCGUGUGCUAGACACCAUGCCUCGCACCUUCACAGGAGGCAUUUCAUUUCAGCCUGGUGCCACAGCCUUUGAGACAGACAGCCUUGCGAUGCACAGAAGAGAAGAAUCACGCUUAGCGACUGCAAGGAAUUCGCCCAACAUUAUCACCGUAGGUGACGGACGCCGAAAACGGAACCAGGCUUCUUGCUUUGAAAGCCCUCAUUCCUGAACAUCAUUCUAUUUCUAGCCUUUCCAAUUUACUGAACAAAGAUGAGAACAGUUUAAGCCGAGGAACGAACCAAAACAAAAAGACAGUUUUUAAGCUAGGAACAGCCAGAGUCUACACAUCUGUUAACCUCUUAUGUGUCUGUGUGGACAUGAGUUUGAAGAUUCAGAAGGAUGCAGAUGGUCACCAUGUAACUGGAAUGAUGACGGCCUGGGAAAGCCUAAUCUAGAAGCAGCAAGAUGGGCGUGUCCUUGUCUAACAAACCGGAUGCGGAGCGAGGUGAGAUCGGCGGCUUCUGCGGACAUGGAAGACUGAAAACAUACUGUUCUUGGCUAUGUCACGACCAACUGAGGCUUGUUUUGUUGCCUCCUGUCAUUCUCCUACUUCAAGGCACAUAUUUAUUUUACUGAAAACAAAGCAAAACUACUGCUCUUUAAAUGAUUUUCUUUUGGAAUUUUAAAUUCAGCCUGAAAAGUAUGACGGUGUUCGUAAAUGGCUUGACCGUCUCUUAAUCGGUGUGCUAUUUAUCCGUCUUCCAAGCGAAAUGUUCCAAUCAAGCCCUGACUCUCUCCACACCUGGCCACUUACUAGCUCUAUAACAUACAUUCACUGCUUUUCAGAUACCACAUGGUGUAAGUAGUUGUCAUCAAGGCCAUCCAGUGCUCUAACUAGAACUGUGAUAGGUGGGAAGGAGGGAGAGAGGAAGGGAUGGAUGGAUGGAGAGGGAGAGGGAGACGGAUAGGGAGAGAGAGAGGGAGAGGGAGAGGGAGGGAGAGGGAGAGGGAGAGGGAGAGGGAGAGGGAGGGAGAGAGAGAGAGAGAGAGAGAGAGAGAGAGAGAGAGAGAGAGAGAGAGAGAAACAGUUCAUGUUUAUUUUAACAAUUUUUCCUGCAAAAUUGCUUCACGGGUUUGAAUGAAUAUUUGAGGCCUCAUCUGGCACAGCCAGCCUUCAUGCCAGAGCUUGGGAGAGAGAGAAGAUCUUGGCCCUGAUACUAAAGUCGUGGAAGAGCCACAGGAUGCUUACACAGGGACACAACAAGAUCAUCCAUUUAAGGCUUAAAUUUUAAGCCCCCCUUCCCCUUCCAUUUAGUGGCAGGGCUUUAUUUUAGAUUAGUUGGUACCACAAUCUUGUUAUUUUCCCCCUCUGACAUCAAGCUGCAAGACUGUCUUCGAGCCUGGCACAGCCAGAGACAGAGAUGAGAAGAAUGUGCAGGAACCAAGAAAGUGGUUUCCUAGCAACAGGAACUAUUCCAAAGGUUUCCUAACUCUGUGUAGUUUCAUUUCCAUAGCAAUGAGGAGAAUAGUAAAUAGUAUGCGUUUUUAUCUGUUCAGUCCAAAUGAAUUCUAAUCAACGAAUGCAGGAAACAUCUAUACUUGUUCUACUAGAUUCAAUCUGAUUGUCUAGAACACACAUUAGUGUCUAGGUCAUGUGUAAUGUAUUGUGAUGUCUGACUAUUUUGAAACGGUUUUUCUCUUUUUUUAGUUUUGUCUCUCCCGCCCCCACUUAGAAACAUUUGCUAAAACAAUUCAAAAAGACAAGGAUGUUUUAAAAGAAGCAACUCUCCUGUUAAGAAAACAAAAAUGGUAUUCAAAUACUACUAAGUUCGUCAGGUCUAGAGAUCAGGAACAGGCAUCUAGAUAGUCAACUUCCUUUUUAUAGAAACAAAUAAGGGGGUUGGGUACGUGGCUCAGUGGGUAAGCACGUUUGCCUUGCAAGCAUGAGCAUCCGAAUUUGAAUCCCUGGUGUCUGUGUGAAAGAACCAGCAUAGCUGUAAACCUGUAAUCUCAGCCCUUGGGGUGAAUGCAGACACGGAGACAGGAGGAUUCCCUAGAGUUCGCUGGCCAGCCAGCCUAGCCAAGGGUGGAGCUUUGGGUUUAGUGGGAGAGUCUGUCUCAAGGCAAUAAGGCAGAGAACGGAAGAGGACCCCUGAAGCUCUCCUUUGGCUCCACAUGGGAGCACAUAGACAGUGCAGUGGCACAUGAGCAUACACCACAGCCAUGUAAACACACACACGUUCAGAGGUCAGUGCCGGCGCAAUUCUCUCUCCCUUGUUUCCAGAUUAGGAAUUAUUUUUUCUUUGACACUUGAGCCUGUCAAAAGCAAAAUCACACCUAAAAUAUUCUCUGUAUUUUACAUCCUCAAUGCCACCCCUGCAGUCCAUUCUUCCUGUAAGUGCAAGGCUAUAUUUCAUCCUCUUCCACAAAGAUUGGGCAAGUCAAUAUGAGUAAAAACAGCAAUAGCUAAAAAGAAGCAAAUUAUGUUGGUAUGUAAAAAAAAUAGAUAGGAAUUAGAAUAUGUAUGUACUCAGGCUCUACACCAAAAGUAUUUCUUACAUGGCUUGCAUAUUUUUAAGAAAGAAAAAUUCUAUACAAAUUAUAUGAAAUUAUUCUGAAAAUAGCAGAGAAAUAAAAUGGUAGAAAGAAAGAAAGAAAGAAAGACAGACAGACAGAAAGAAAGAAAGAAAGAAAGAAAGAAAGAAAGAAAGAAAGAAAGAAAGAAAGACAAAACUGUAUUUAGGUCUCCUGUGGAUGAUCAGCUAAGAACUACAAAUUAAAUAUUUAAGAGCCACACAUUACAACUCAGCAUUUCACAAACACUACUGCAUUUGCUUUGGUACUUUUUUAUGGAAAUAGUACUGAUAGGAGGCACAGAGGACAUGGGAAAGGGGUUUCUUUUCUCUUACACUAGAUUCAAUGUUAGGGCAACAAGGUCACAACAUGAGACAGACCCAUAGUCAGGUCAUACACAUGUAGAGUAGAAAGAGGUUUUGCUUCUAAGGAAGCUUGCUAGGUAUGAUACGUCCCAUGUAAUGUACACAAUGGUUUAAAUUACAAAUUGAAAAACCCCUUCUUUCUUUAAUAACAAAACUUCUCUUAGGAAUUCUGAAGAUCAUUUGUCCUUAACUGAAAUGUAUGUAUUUUUAGCAAAGUACAAAGUGUUUGUAUGGUUCAACAACAACAACAACAAAAAUCUACAAAGAAUAAUGUUAGGACUAAAGAAUGCUAUAGCAAUUCACUAAGAAUUUACCAGUAAUACAGUUAUUCAGUUGGAGUUAACCACUGAACAGUAUCAGAGAAAAUGGCCAUGCUUUUGCUCCUGCUAAUAGAGAAAACAUGGAUUUACAGAUAUCUUAUUUAGUAGAAGCAUUUGUUUCAUGAUUUGACUUAAUUGCACUUAAAUCAUGUUUUUGACCGUUGACAGUCUAAUUAGAAAGUACUGAAAAGUUCUGAUUGUUAUCAAGAAUUUUUCUGCCAAUUUUUUUCUCCUUGUAAGUAGCAAAAAACUUGAUAAUAAGCCAUCAUAAUAUCUGUCACUUAAAUUUCUGUUUAUUUUGAUAUCCUAACAGUGUCUAAAAAAGAGACAUGAGCUGGGCAUGUGGCUUAGCGGGUACAGUGCUUGCCUGGCAUGCACAAAGCCCUGGGUUCAGGUCCUAGCACAACAUAAAACUUAACAUAGUAAGUUUGAGGUUGCUGUAGGCUACAUGAGGCCAUGUCUUUAAGAGAAAGAAUUUAUUUAAAGGUAGAGUAUUUGUCUAUACCUUAAUAACUGGGGGAUUAGUUUCUUCUGAAAAUUGCAUGCAGAUAUGUCUUGCACCUUGCUUAAAGCCAUGCAAUAGUCCAUCCUUAAUUGUCAAUUGAAAUGGCUAUGUGCCUAUUAAUUUAGAAGAAUUCUGUUACUUAAAAGUCAUAGAGGAAUGUUAAUACAGGUGAUCCACAAGAUAGUCAUAAUUGGAAAAGAAUAUAAUCUAAAUUAUCAUUCAAUUCCUUUUUAACCUUUAUUGCUUUGCUAUAUAAAGAACUCAAUAUUCGGGAGAUUUUAGAAAUGAUAUUUUAGGUAGAAAUUGGUGAACAAGGUUUGACAGUUGUAAGCUACUUUAGAUUUUGAAGUUGUGAAAUAUCUCCCCCUUGCAAGAUGAAGAAGUCACACUUCAUCUGUUUUCAUGGCUUCUCGUCAUAGAAUAUUCUUAGAAGACACCUGUGUGUUCAUUGCUGACAUCUGUGCCUUCCUGAAAUAAGGUAGAAAUACUUAUGUUCUUCCCACCUAAUAAAUCAGGUUAAGGCCUUCCAGUACCUUCACACAUCACUGUAAAACAAUGGGGUGUGUGCUCAGAUGCACACACACUCUGUAGUAUGUACAGCACAACGAGCUACUCAGGCAAGCUAGCUAACGCGGACCAACAGUCGACUGCUCUCAAAACCACUCACAUGGCAUGGUGUUGGCACAUUCCUUAGUCCCCACUCCUCCCCAGAGCAAACACUGUGAUGACUCAUAAACCUUGUAAACACUGUGUCAGUGCUUGCAAGCACUCAAGAUCAUUUUCACACUAGUUGGAAAACAAUAUUUUAUCCCUAAACAACACAAAUCAGCAGUCUCUCGCUUUCUUAGAUGAGCUUGGGGCUGCUCAGUGUCUCUAGCCCAGAGGAACUGUCCUUUUCCUUUCACGGAAAAUAAACAACUGUGACCCAGCGAUGUGCCUUGAUUGUAGGCCUGUAGUUCUUAUGGACAAAUACUGCCUACAAUGCCUUAUUAUAUGCAGGUUCUGUAGUUGUUGGCACAAAUACACAAAUCAAGAUCACUUAUCUUUAGAAACUUUAAAAUGCAAUUUGCAUGUAAAGUAAGAUGAGUUAAUAACAGGCCCAAGGAUACGCUCUGUGUAGUAGCUAGAUUAGGAAAUAGGUAAGAAAUAGCACAGAAUGAUGUUUAUGAAGAGUGCCAUUUAAGACAUGCCCACCUUAUCCUUUCUUCCUCUACUUUGUCCAGCAUACCUAGCUUACUCUAUCUGUCUUGAAUCUGUUCUUCCUAGUUCUUAACACCUCUGGAUGUGUUUCCCUUGUACAAACCCCUGUAUUUCCAUCUGUCCCUUUCUGAGUGUCAAAGCCUCAUAAAUUCUGCCUUAAUGCUUCUUUUUUUGCUUUGCAUCUUAAGCAACAGUCAGUGGAGAAGAUCAACUCUGUCUGAAGAUUACAAUAAAGGACCACACUGGUUAAUUAAGAUGCA